UACGUAGGGAGCAAGCGUUGUUCGGAUUUACUGGGCGUAAAGGGCGCGUAGGCGGCGCGGUAAGUCACUUGUGAAAUCUCUGAGCUUAACUCAGAACGGCCAAGUGAUACUGCAGUGCUAGAGUGCAGAAGGGGCAAUCGGAAUUCUUGGUGUAGCGGUGAAAUGCGUAGAUAUCUGGAGGAAUACCGGUGGCGAAGGCGGCAUCCUGGACCGACAUUGACGCUGAGGAGCGAAAGCUAGGGGAGCAAACGGG
rnacentral:rRNA from 1 species